AGGGCUAUAGCUCAGUUGGUAGAGCAUCUCGUUUACACCGAGAAAGUCUACGGUUCGAGUCCGUAUAGCCCUA
rnacentral:tRNA from 3 species